UUUGGCUAAUGUUACAUUACAGGGGAUGCUUAAUUGUUCUAAUAUUACCUGUUAUUUGUCUGAGUGUUGGAAUGGAUCCUGGCCUAUGGCAAUGGUUAUGAAAAUUCCAACUUUUGUCCCGAUCCCGGUUACUGCAGAUCCAGAGUCAUUUCCUAUUGUUGAACUGAUUAGAGCCCAUAGAGAUUUUGGAAUUACAGCAGCCAUAGUGACAGCUGUGGCGGUAUCUGCUGCUGCAGCAGUUACAGCUGGAGUAGCCAUGGCCAGCCAGGUACAAACUGCUGCCACUAUUAAUCAGGUUAUUCAACAAACAUCCACCAUACUUGAAUCUCAAAGUAGAAUUAAUCAACACAUUUUAUCUGGGAUUCUGGCUGCUAAUCAAAGGAUAGAUCUGCUUCAAGCUCAAGUUGAGGAAUUGUCUGACCUAGUACAUUUGGGUUGUAUUGAUCAACGUGCACAUUUAUGUAUAACCUCUGUCAGAUUUAAUGAUUCCAGAAAUGCCUCCCGCAUCAUCGGAGAGUAUCUAUCCGGAACCUGGUCCAUGGAAGCAGAAAACAUGAUCCAGUCUCAACUAACCCAGAUAGCUGUCUUGAACAGUACCCGUGUCGAUCCCGUGACUUUGGGUCAAUUCACCGAUUGGAUAUCUUCUGCUUUUUCCUUCUUCAAAGAGUGGGUGGGGGUAGGCAUUUUUGGUGCAAUGUGUUGCUUCGGUGUUGUACUUUGUUUGUGGCUUCUCUGUCGCCUUAAAACUCGCCAUGCACAAGAAAAGGCUAUGAUUGUACAGGCUCUUGCGGCCUUAGAAAAUGGCAUUUCUCCACAAAUCUGGCUUGCACAUCUUAAACAGUGAUUUCUGGGCAUGGCCAUUGCACCCCAAGUUAGUUUCACAUUGCACUGGGAUUGGCAUGUCCUCUUUCUUAUUCUCUCCCAGUGCUGGAUAGCCCUUGCACUCUGCAGGUCUUGUUACCAUUGCACGCAGAUGGGUUUCCACACUAGUGCUUUUCUAUCGCCUUAAAGUCCAUGCCUUUCUUUCAGGGUGCUGUCAACUUGUUUGUCGUUAUAAACAGCCACAGUUCAGCCUCAGCUAUCCCCCUUCGUCCACCAUCAUCACUAUACAGGAUGCGAGGCAAGGCACUGCACUUGAGUGAUCCUUGACGUGGACCUCAAGGAGAGCAUGUCCUAUUGCAUGCGGGUUAGACGCAUCCACGCCCCGCCCCACGAAAAAAGGCGUCGGCUGAUAUGGCCUCAGAUCUGGGGAAGGGCCCUCCUUAGGACUGAGCCAUGCUAUGCAGCCACUUCUGCACAGUGGGAUAGGACCUCUACUCUCGCCUGUAUUGUUUUAAGAAAAAAGAAAGGGGGAACUGUGGUGAGCCGCUUCUGCCGUUUCUGCAGACUAUGGUCGCCAUUACAAGAUGGCGCUGGCUCCGCUGUGGUCUGUGACAAACAACUCCUUAUUUGGGAGAGUUGGUGCAUGGUUUUUCACCACCCUAUGAGAAAGCUCCACGUGGCAGCUUCGCAUUUGGGCUUGAGAUGCUUUAUUAAGGCUGGGAGGGGCAUCCGAGAAGGAGAAGAAGAAAUAUCAAGGGCCUGAGUAAACUGCUGAAAGAAGAUUCCCGAGUUGCGUCUUCCUUGCGGGCAAGGGGUCGCGACAACUUCCUUCUGCCACAUCAACCUUCGCACUCUACAGUA
rnacentral:lncRNA from 1 species